GAGCGAUGGCCGAGCGGUCGAAGGCGGCGGUCUUGAAAACCGUUGUAUAGCAAUAUACCGGGGGUUCGAAUCCCUCUCGCUCC
rnacentral:tRNA from 1 species